rnacentral:tRNA from 1 species
GGGAAUGUGGCUUAGUGGUAGAGUGCUUGCUUAGCAUGCAUGAAGCCCUGGGUUCAAUUCCAAGUACCA